GUUAUUGAUUGCAGGCAGCAGCAGUCCCUCAGGUUGAUUUGUGUGGAAAGUGAAUCCUCGCUGGAUAGGCGUUCAGCAGAGGCGCCGCAGCCGCAAAGCCAGCCAAUUAUUGCCGGUCCUCCCCUCCAACCCCGCGCUCACUACCUACACACUCCUUGCUGUGUCAGUCUCCACUUCCCCUCUACCCACGAUCCACCCCCCCUCCCCGCGCGGACGGAGCCGAGGGGGCGGUGGGGGGGGGGCUCCCUCCCCGGGAGCGUUUCUAGAGCUCGGAGGCAGCUCGCAGGGGAGUUUUCUGCAAAGGGUUCAAAAUCCAAAGGAGUAUCCGUGAUGACUGAGAUUCCACAGAUGCCCUGCCAUGUUGGUCUGGAGUGCUUUGGGGAGGAGACUCUGAGAACGUCUCCCGUUUGUUUGCUGACAGAGACGUGUCCUGGGUGCAGAUCAGUGGGCAGCCUGGCUCUCGAGGAGGAAAUUUUACUGUUUUUGAAAAGUUUGACAGUCCACAUGUUUAAGUCUAACAGAAGAAAACAAAAAUCACUGGAUAUGAAGUUAUGAGACAGACCCAAGUCUACAUCUACAUCCUCAUGGUUGGUGACCUUGGAUAAAUUUCAUUUUUGUGCUUCUGUUUCAUUUUCUUUAAAAUGAGUAGUUGAAAGCUUCAAAGACUCAAAGAUUUCAUGAACUUAAAAGAAGACUGAUUGAAAGAAAUGCGUGGCCAUUAUUACCUCGCUGCUCAGUUUAUUCAUGGACACAUACUUGUUACAUACAUCUGAAGUUUCCUUAAGGAAAUGAACUCUGUGGAUGUGAUACUUGGCCAUUGAGAGAAGUGGAAUAAAUAAGAAAAAGAAGGGGGAACAAGUUAGUGACAAAGGAGCCGUGGUAAGCAAUUAAAAUGAUUCCUCUUUUACUUCUUUAUAUCUACAGUCUAGUUAUUCCUAUUGGAAAACCUACUGGCACCAGGUAAUAUCAACAGGGAUGAGUAAUAUGUAAUUUUUAUCUUUACUGGGUUACAUUUGGCCCACAGACAGUUGACAGCUGUCAGUCAGGUGGCUGGUCAAUGCGGAGAUACAUAUAAAGCUGCCAAAGUAUUUUUGUUUCUUUAAAUACUUCCAAGUAAACCAUUUUAGCUGGAAACUUCUUUGUCCUGUAAUUAAAUAGAUUGAUAUUCGGAAUAUGACUUAUUGAAGUUAUUUGCUUGGAGAACCAAGAUUUUCCCUAUGACCAUAUAAGGUAAACAAAAUGUUUUUCAAAUGUCUUUCUGAAAGGGGAAAAUAAUUAUUUUUUCUCCUAAAACUGUCCUUAAGAUACAAAGAUAUAUUGCAAAUAAUGCUUAAAGUGCAUGUAUUUUAAAAUUAAAGUUUUAGGGCAUAUAUGAGUCAUUGCAACUUUAAGCCAAGUUUCUAAGACUGAUUAAAAGAAACCAUCCCCAUACAUUGUGGGGAGUUGGCAUAGGUAUUUUUCUGACAUGAAAGUUGAAGGUUUAUCAGAAAGGACAAACAUGUAGUUGCAUGUUGAACUAGGAGUUAAAACUUUUUCUUAUAAUUAAAAGAAUUUAUCAUAGAAUUUUAGAUUAAGCCAAUAACUUAGGGCAGGGUUAAAAUGAUAAAUUUUAGUUAUGUAGAAAUAUUUGGGCUAUUCCUAACAAUGUUUCUCAUAGGUUGAGUCACACUGAAAUAAUUCACUGAAGUCAUAAAAAAUAAUUUGGAAGAAGUUUUUGUGUUGCUUGUACUUAGUGUUAAUGACAAAUAUUAUAAUUAUAGCCAAUUGUAUUGCAUAUAAAAGUUUAAUAAAUACAAUUCUGAAGUUGACUUAAAAAUAUAUGUUCAGUUUUGCAGUAGUCAUCUUUCAAAUUGAAUCCUUUCUUUCAAAUAUAGGAUUUAACAGAGCAGAUUAAAAAACAAUGAUCAAGUGCAUGGAGUGCAUAUUCAUUCUUUAAGAGGCUAAUGAAGUCAUCUAAAAUUUUCAGUGACCACGGUUACUCAGGUGCCAAAAUCAAUAUGAUGAAGUUGAUAAAAUAUUACAUAAAAAGAGCAGUUUGAAACCACAAUAAAUACAUGAAUUAAAAAAAAAUAAAAUGGACUUUACUUUUCUGAACCACAUUCUACAUGUAAUAAUUUAUAAUGAAAAUCAGAUCUGAGUUUUGAGAUUGCAAAAUAUUGUUUCAUUAAAAUGUAGAUGAGAUUAUGUUUUAAAAACAUUACUUUUUUUGGUGGGGUGAAUAAUUUCUGGUAGUUUUUUAAACCACACAUAUUUCAUAAUUAAACAGCAAUUAAAUUAAUUUGAAAGAGAAUGAUACAUAUAAAUUUGUAACAUACCUGUGUCAUCAUUGAUCUGAAAAUUGUUUUAGAUAUAGUGGUCAUUAAAAAAAUAUCAGACCUUGUUAUUUUCCCACUAUGUG
rnacentral:lncRNA from 1 species